CAGUCGCCGCGGUAAUACGUAGGGUGCAAGCGUUAAUCGGAAUUACUGGGCGUAAAGCGUGCGCAGGCGGUUAUAUAAGACAGAUGUGAAAUCCCCGGGCUCAACCUGGGAACUGCAUUUGUGACUGUAUAGCUAGAGUACGGCAGAGGGGGAUGGAAUUCCGUGUGUAGCAGUGAAAUGCGUAGAUAUGCGGAGGAACACCGAUGGCGAAGGCAAUCCCCUGGGCCUGUACUGACGCUCAUGCACGAAAGCGUGGGGAGCAAACAGGAUUAGAUACCCCUGUAGUCCCUGUCUCUUAUAC
rnacentral:rRNA from 1 species